GACGAACGCUGGCGGCGUGCUUAACACAUGCAAGUCGAACGGAAAGUCCCUGCUUUUAGGGGGUGCUCGAGUUGCGAACGGGUGAUUGACACCUGGUUAACCUCCCCUGGACUAUGUGCUUACUUCAGGAGACUGGCGCUAGUACCGCGUAAUAACUCCUGCUUCAAGUUGUGGGUAGGAAAGUUUCGGCGGUUGGGGAUUGACCGGUGGCUGAUCAGCUUGUGGGUGGGGUGCUGGCUUGCCAAAGCUUGGCCGGGUAGACGGCCUGGGAGGGUGACCGGCAACACUGGGACUGAGAUACGACCCAGACUCCUACGGGAGGCAGCAGUGGGGAAGAUUGCAUAACGGGCGGAAGCCUGAUGCAGCAACGCCGCGCGCGGGAUGACGGCCUUGGGUUUGUAAAGCGCUGUCGCCUGUGACGAAGCGUGAGUGACGGUAAUGGGUAAAAAAGCACCGGCUAACUACGUG
rnacentral:rRNA from 1 species